GAUGAACGCUGGCGGCGUGCCUAAAACAUGCAAGUCGAGCGGCAGCGAGUUCCUCGCUAAUGUUCGGAUUUGUUUACCAAUGAUGCAAGUAAUUUAGUCAGAGUAACAAAGUAACGACUAGUUGUUUAAGUUAAAAGGUAGAUUUAAUAUUCCGGAUAUGAGCGAGGAAUGUCGGCGAGCGGCGGACGGCUGAGUAGCGCGUAGGAACAUACCCCAAAGUGAGGCAUAACCGCCCGAAAGGGUGGCUAAUACCGCAUAUUGUCUUCGGAUGAAAGCUUUUAGCGCUUUGGGAAUGGCCUGCGUUUGAUUAGCUAGUUGGUGAGGUAAGGGCUUACCAAGGCGAUGAUCAAUAGCUGGUUUGAGAGAAUGAUCAGCCAGACUGGAACUGAGACACGGUCCAGACUCCGUACGGGAGGCAGCAGUUGGGAAUUUUCCACAAUGGGCGAAAGCCUGAUGGAGCAACGCCGCGUGCGAGGAAGAAUGUCUUCGGGUUGUAAA
rnacentral:rRNA from 1 species